rnacentral:rRNA from 1 species
UGGGGAAUAUUGCACAAUGGGCGCAAGCCUGAUGCAGCCAUGCCGCGUGUAUGAAGAAGGCCUUCGGGUUGUAAAGUACUUUCAGCGAGGAGGAGGCGUUGUGGUUAAUAACCGCAGCGAUUGACGUUACUCGCAGAAGAAGCACCGGCUAACUCCGUGCCAGCAGCCGCGGUAAUACGGAGGGUGCAAGCGGUAAUCGGAAUUACUGGGUGUAAAGCGCACGCAGGCGGUCUGUCAAGUCGGAUGUGAAAUCCCCGGGCUCAACCUGGGAACUGCAUCCGAAACUGGCAGGCUAGAGUCUUGUAGAGGGGGGUAGAAUUCCAGGUGUAGCGGUGAAAUGCGUAGAGAUCUGGAGGAAUACCGGUGGCGAAGGCGGCCCCCUGGACAAAGACUGACGCUCAGGUGCGAAAGCGUGGGGAGCAAACA